GGCAUGAAAACCAUAGUGCUUGUCACUGUACAAACAAAAACUAAAUGACUGUUCCUUCCCCAAAGAACCGACAGUCUAAUAUGAGAGAACAGGUGGAUACAGCAAACACCCUCUGCUCCUGACAAGAUUAUUGUGAUCAAUGUGAUAAACAGUGGUCUCAGCACACCAGCUGCUUACCCAUUCCUGAGUUCUUUGUAGGCAUCACAGAGGAGGGUUAAGACUGGAUUUAAAAGAGGACAAUGUGGUGAUGCAACGAGAUGAGGAGUGAGUGUGCUCCCACAGAUGCAAUGCUAUGCUUCCUGCUGUGCUAUUUGAAGAUGAACUUUGCACAGGAGAGUUCAACUCUGCAAUCAAUCUUUUUCAAGCCAUUUUGUGCGGGGUAAUGGACCAAAACCUGCACUGACCUACACCUUGUGAGGCUCAAGUGAACUUACUGAGGCUAUGUGAGCAAAGAAGGAUGUGCUCAGAACUCAAACUUGGACCCACUCACUUGGCGGCACCAUGCAAUGAAGUGCUACAAGCCAGGCUCCCUUGCACUCAGCUAAACUCUCUGAGGCUCGUUUAUACUGACUCGACUGAUGUGUAAGGGAGAUGGAAGAAGGGCUGAGAAAGUCCUCCCAGUGUGUUGGAAGUAAUGAACUCACUGCUGAACUGGCAGUCCUAUUCUAUUCAGAUUCUUACAGGGAGCCCAUCACUGUGAUUUCUGAACAGAACAAGGCUGUCUCCUGAAUGAAAGAAAAAUAAAACUGAGAAUAAGAGCACAGCAAUUAUAUUAUUCCAGCACAAAGAGUGUCAAUUUAAGGACUAUUAAACUUGACCUGAAUGGGGAAUGGCUCAGGUACAGUAAAGCAAAAACAGAGCUGAAAAGAACACAAACUUUUUGGUAAUAAAAUUAACAGUAAUGAUUUCUUUAAUUUCUUAGCUGUUUUUGGAGCACAGAAAUUUCUCUUAUUAUGAUUUUUUUUUGGUACUGCAGUAGUGCCUAGAGGACCCAACCAAGGUUAAAGGCCUAAUUCUGUUAGGUGCUGUGUACCCCUCCCCCCAAGAGAUUAUUUCUAUCCCAAAGAGCUUAUGAUUCAUAGUUAUUUCUCAGUGACCUAUGCACAGAUUUGAAAUGGACAAUGGCAAGUAUAAAAAUUGAUCUCUUUUCAAAGUACAUUUGGAAUUAUGAUAUUUGUUUUUGUAUUUCUUCAAAAAAUAAGCAUUUGACUGGAAAUUGGAUAAUUGUUAUGCUACUGGAUCUAUUUUUGUGUAAAAGUCCUCAACUUUGCCUGCUUGCUCAUGCAAACUCAAAAUGCCAAGCUUGUCAGAUUUCACAGUGACUAUUUUGCACAUCCCUACGCAAUAAAAUGUCUCAGGAAUAUAUGCAAAGAUUUCAAAACCACAAACUGCAUUUUAAAAGCAGACUGCAGCCCAGAUUUUCAACAUCUAUGUAAACUGAAUUGGUCCUCUUUUAUCUCACCGUCCUCAAUCCAAAAAAAUUUCUCUUUUGUUAUGGAUGGGUCUCUCUUACUGUGAUGUAGAUAGUAGUGAUUUUAAUAAAUAACUAUAAUAUGUA